rnacentral:rRNA from 2 species
GCUCAGGAUGAACGCUGGCGGCGUGCCUAAUACAUGCAAGUCGAGCGAAUGGAUUAAGAGCUUGCUCUUAUGAAGUUAGCGGCGGACGGGUGAGUAACACGUGGGUAACCUGCCCAUAAGACUGGGAUAACUCCGGGAAACCGGGGCUAAUACCGGAUAACAUUUUGAACUGCAUGGUUCGAAAUUGAAAGGCGGCUUCGGCUGUCACUUAUGGAUGGACCCGCGUCGCAUUAGCUAGUUGGUGAGGUAACGGCUCACCAAGGCAACGAUGCGUAGCCGACCUGAGAGGGUGAUCGGCCACACUGGGACUGAGACACGGCCCAGACUCCUACGGGAGGCAGCAGUAGGGAAUCUUCCGCAAUGGACGAAAGUCUGACGGAGCAACGCCGCGUGAGUGAUGAAGGCUUUCGGGUCGUAAAACUCUGUUGUUAGGGAAGAACAAGUGCUAGUUGAAUAAGCUGGCACCUUGACGGUACCUAACCAGAAAGCCACGGCUAACUACGUGCCAGCAGCCGCGGUAAUACGUAGGUGGCAAGCGUUAUCCGGAAUUAUUGGGCGUAAAGCGCGCGCAGGUGGUUUCUUAAGUCUGAUGUGAAAGCCCACGGCUCAACCGUGGAGGGUCAUUGGAAAACUGGGAGACUUGAGUGCAGAAGAGGAAAGUGGAAUUCCAUGUGUAGCGGUGAAAUGCGUAGAGAUAUUGGAGGAACACCAGUGGCGAAGGCGACUUUCUGGUCUGUAACUGACACUGAGGCGCGAAAGCGUGGGGAGCAAACAGGAUUGAUACCCUA